rnacentral:rRNA from 1 species
CAGUAGCCGCGGGAAUACGAAGGGUGCAAGCGUUAAUCGGAAUUACUGGGCGUAAAGCGUGCGUAGGCGGUGAGUUAAGUCUGCUGUGAAAUCCCCGGGCUCAACCUGGGAAUGGCAGUGGAUACUGGCUCGCUAGAAUGUGUCAGAGGAUGGUGGAAUUCCCGGUGUAGCGGUGAAAUGCGUAGAGAUCGGGAGGAACAUCAGUGGCGAAGGCGGCCAUCUGGGACAACACUGACGCUCAGGUGCGAAAGCGUGGGGAGCAAACAGGAUUAGAUACCCCGGUAGUCCCUGUCUCUUAUAC